rnacentral:misc_RNA from 1 species
UUUUUUACUUGACUUUAUAUUUAAUUUAAUGCUUUAUAAUUACCAUGAUAUAUUUCAAAUUUAAUUCAUUAUUUUUUUUUACACAUAUAUACAUAAUACAUAAAAAUACAUUAUUUUCAAUGAUAAAUUUUUCACUGUACAAUGAACAAUUGCAAUUUCAAGCAAUUUUGUGGUUGUGGCUCAAUUGAUUGGUAAUUUUGUCUUCUUGCCUUUUUUGAUUGGGUUGGGCUGGAUAUACAUACUGAGA